rnacentral:lncRNA from 1 species
AAUCCCAAAAAAAAUUAAUUAUAGGAAAAAAAAUUGAGAGAGAAAAAAUGAAUUUGUUCAAAUAAAAAUAAUUAAAAAUCAAAACUUUACAAAGAUACCUCGUAAAAGAGUCUUCACAUAUAUAAAUAUUCUCUCUUUUCUCUUUUUUGCUACUAUAAUCUUUCAUAUGAUUUUUCUACUAUCUUCUAUAUAGUUUACCAUACAC